rnacentral:rRNA from 1 species
UAAGGAAUAUUGGACAAUGGAGGCAACUCUGAUCCAGCCAUGCCGCGUGAAGGAAUAAGGCCCUAUGGGUUGUAAACUUCUUUUAGACGGGACAAAACCCCUUUACGCGUAAAGGGUUGAUGGUACUGUCAGAAUAAGCAUCGGCUAACUUCGUGCCAGCAGCCGCGGUAAUACGAAGGAUGCAAGCGUUAUCCGGAAUUAUUGGGUUUAAAGGGUGCGUAGGCGGACGAAUAAGUCAGUGGUGAAAGCCUGCAGCUUAACUGCAGAAUUGCCAUUGNUACUGUUAGUCUUGAGUACAGUUGAGGUAGGCGGAAUGUGUCAUGUGGCGGUGAAAUGCUUAGAUAUGACACAGAACACCGAUUGCGAAGGCAGCUUGCUAAGCUGUAACUGACGCUGAGGCA